GACUACAGCCAUGCCACCCUGAACAAGCCUGAUCCCAUCUGAUCUCAGAAGCUAAGCAGGGUCGGGCCUGGUUAGUACUUGAGAGACUACCUAGGAAGAUUAGGUGCUGUAGGAG
rnacentral:rRNA from 1 species